GCGCGCGUGGCGUAAUUGGUAGCCGCGUUAGACUUAGGAUCUAAUAUCUCACGAUGUGGGGGUUCGAGUCCCCCCGCGCGCACCA
rnacentral:tRNA from 1 species